UACAGAGGUCUCAAGCGUUGUUCGGAUUCAUUGGGCGUAAAGGGUGCGUAGGUGGCGCGCUAAGUCAGGUGUGAAAUCUCGGGGCUUAACUCCGAAACUGCAUUUGAUACUGGCGUGCUUGAGGACUGGAGAGGAGACUGGAAUUUACGGUGUAGCGGUGAAAUGCGUAGAUAUCGUAAGGAAGACCAGUGGCGAAGGCGGGUCUCUGGACAGUUCCUGACGCUGAGGCACGAAGGUCAGGGGAGCAAACGGG
rnacentral:rRNA from 1 species